rnacentral:rRNA from 1 species
ACAUGUAUACAACAUAGCGUUAAUGCAACGGAUCCCAUUAUAAAUCCAUAGUUAAGCGUGCUCAGGAUAGAGUAGUACUGGGAUGGGUGACUUCCCAAGAAGUCCUAGUGUUUUACAAGCC